GUCCUCUUGAUAAUAUUUUGAGGUCUGGUCUGCUCACUGAAUUAUUAAAUAGCCGCGGUAUUUUGACCGUGCAAAGGUAGCAUAAUCAUUAGUCUUUUAAUUGAAGGCUGGAAUGAAUGGUUCGACGAGAAAUUAACUGUCUCUUAAUAAUUAUUAGAAUUUAACUUUUAAGUUAAAAGGCUUAAAUUUUUUUUUAGGACGAGAAGACCCUAUAGAGCUUAACAUAAAUAUUAUAUAUGGUUUUUAGAAAAUUUUUCUAUAUUUAUUAAUAAUGUUUUGUUGGGGUGACAUGUAAAAUAAUUAAACUUUUCAUUAUUAAAUCAUUAAUUAAUGUUUUAUUGAUCCAUAAUUUAUGAUCAUAAGAUUAAGUUACCUUAGGGAUAACAGCGUAAUUGGUUUUAAGAGUUCAUAUUAACAAAUCAGAUUGCGACCUCGAUGUUGGAUUAAGAUAAAUUUUAAGUGCAG
rnacentral:rRNA from 1 species